rnacentral:rRNA from 1 species
UACGGGGGGGGCAAGCGUUGUUCGGAAUUACUGGGCGUAAAGCGUGCGCAGGCGGUUUUGUAAGUCUGUCGUGAAAUCCCCGGGCUCAACCUGGGAAUUGCGAUGGAGACUGCAAGGCUAGAAUCUGGUAGAGGGGGGUAGAAUUCCACGUGUAGCAGUGAAAUGCGCAGAUAUCAGGAGGAACACCCGUGGCGAAGGCGGCUCUCUGGUACGUGACUGACGCUGAGACGCGAAAGCGUGGGGAGCAAACAGA